rnacentral:rRNA from 1 species
UUACGGGAGGCAGCAGUAAGGAAUAUUGGUCAAUGGAGGCAACUCUGAACCAGCCAUGCCGCGUGCAGGAAGACUGCCCUAUGGGUUGUAAACUGCUUUUAUUCGGGAAUAAACCUUAUUACGUGUAAUAAGCUGAAUGUACCGAAGGAAUAAGGAUCGGCUAACUCCGUGCCAGCAGCCGCGGUAAUACGGAGGAUCCAAGCGUUAUCCGGAUUUAUUGGGUUUAAAGGGUGCGUAGGCGGCCUGUUAAGUCAGGGGUGAAAGACGGUAGCUCAACUAUCGCAGUGCCCUUGAUACUGAUGGGCUUGAAUGGACUAGAGGUAGGCGGAAUGAGACAAGUAGCGGUGAAAUGCAUAGAUAUGUCUCAGAACACCGAUUGCGAAGGCAGCUUACUAUGGUCUUAUUGACGCUGAGGCACGAAAGCGUGGGGAUCAAACAGGAUUAGAUACCCUAGUAA